CGGACGGGUGAGUAACGCGUGGAAAACCUGCCGUAUACUGGGGGAUAACACUUAGAAAUAGGUGCUAAUACCGCAUAAGCGCACAGCUUCGCAUGAAGUGGUGUGAAAAACUCUGGUGGUAUACGAUGGUUCCGCGUCUGAUUAGCUUGUUGGUGGGGUAAUGGCUCACCAAGGCGACGAUCAGUAGCCGGCCUGAGAGGGUGAACGGCCACAUUGGACUGAGACACGGCCCAAACUCCUACGGAAGGCAGCAG
rnacentral:rRNA from 1 species